rnacentral:lncRNA from 1 species
GACGGAAGCUCCACACAGGGACACUGUUGACUGGUUGACUCCAACCCUAGUACUCAUACCGAUAAUCCUCAUUCCAGUCAUCUUCAUUAUCAUACCCUGAGGUGCUCAUAACCAUGGGACUGAUAGGAAAAUCUACCCCCCUUAAAGAAAGACUUGCUGAGGGGCAACGUAAAGAAACUGGUAUAGUCCCACCCGGUGAAUUAACUUGCAUAGGUGUUUUCAUUGCAACUAGUGGAAGGCUAUGAACUCUAACAAAUGCUUGUGAUAUAAAAGUAUGCGA